rnacentral:rRNA from 1 species
UACGUAGGGUGCGAGCGUUAAUCGGAAUUACUGGGCGUAAAGCGUGCGCAGGCGGUUUUGUAAGCCAGAUGUGAAAUCCCCGGGCUUAACCUGGGAAUGGCAUUUGGGACUGCAAGGCUUGAGUGCGGCAGAGGAGACUGGAAUUCCUGGUGUAGCAGUGAAAUGCGUAGAUAAUCAGGAGGAACACCGGUGGCGAAGGCGGGUCUCUGGCCGAUACUGACGCUGAGGAGCGAAAGCGUGGGGAGCGAACAGG